GGGCUCGACCAAGCCUCCUCACCCAGAUGGACUCAGUCCGCGCAAAACAGGCCCUUUCCUCUCUGGCCCAACUCUCGGCCCGACCCAGUAUCCAGAAUGAUACUCACCAGACAGCCUGGCAGAUCCGUUCGAACGUACGCACAGGGAGAAUCAGAGGCCGUUACGCAUGGGGCAGGCACUUGAUACCCUCGUACUCCCGAAUCUGUAUGGCAGAGACGCGUGACCCAAUCCUGGAGAGACCUUUACACAUCACCAGCAAGCAAGACGAAAUGGAUAAAAGGGGAGUCCCAUCCUCAGAAUGUUUAUGCUUUAUUCUCUAAAACAAAAACCCUUGUAAAACCCUAUUCUAUUGGAUCUCAGAUCAUCAAUUGGCGCCGUCUGUGGGAAACGACGGAGAUCUUUUCAUCACCGGAGUUUUCACUCUUAAAGAAACCCACUGAGAUCCACGAUGGCUAAUCACCAAGAAAGUAACCUUAACGUCCCAAAUGACCUAAGCUCUGCCCAAGAGGGGCAACAAUUCUCCUUUUCUAGUCCUACGGCAUUAAACAACCAAACACCUGUUCCUCUUAAUCCCUCGCCAAGUUUGGC
rnacentral:lncRNA from 1 species